rnacentral:rRNA from 1 species
UACCAGCACCCCGAGUGGUCGGGACGAUUAUUGGGCCUAAAGCAUCCGUAGCCGGUUCUACAAGUCUUCCGUUAAAUCCAUCUGCUUAACAGAUGGGCUGCGGAGGAUACUAUGGAGCUAGGAGGCGGGAGAGGCAAGCGGUACUUAGUGGGUAGGGGUAAAAUCCGUUGAUCCACUGAAGACCACCAGUGGCGAAGGCGGCUUGCCAGAACGCGCUCGACGGUGAGGGAUGAAAGCUGGGGGAGCAAACCGGAUUAGAUACCCGGGUAGUCCCAGCUGUAAACGAUGCAGACUCGGUGAUGAAAAGGCUUCGUGCCUUUUCAGUGCCGCAGGGAAGCCGUUAAGUCUGCCGCCUGGGGAGUACGGUCGCAAGACUGAAACUUAA